ACAAGAUCAUCCGUGAUAUGAAAAAGCAACUAAGAUAAUCUAUUUAAAAAUACUUCAGGUAUUUUUCUUCUUUUUCUACUUUAAUUUAUUUCCAUAUAACUGUUUUUAUUAAAUGUACUUUUUCCAUUUCCACUUUUUUUUAGCAAAAAACAAAAAGACAGCAGAGAGGAUGAUGAAGACGAAGAGGAUGAAGAGGCAGAGCGAGCGCCUCUGCAGCGACAAAGGGGAAAUCUACCGUGGCUCACAAUCCCGCAUUUCUUCAACGUCGUCUGGUUCCAGUGACACCAGCGCCAGUGGAGCCGACACUCCUGUCAUCCAGUCAGAUGAUGAGGAAGUUCAUGCUGACACUGUUGCUGACAAGCGUCCCUCAGUUGAGGGAUGAGGAAUCAGAGGAGGACGAGGAGGUGAAAACAAGUCUUCCAACUGAUCCUCUGAGAGACUGACUUUUAUCUAUAACUUUCUUUGGCUUUAUGUGUAAAUUUCUUUCUUAUGGACCACAAACUCCAGCAUGAUUGAGCCUCACUGUGCUCCUCUGUGCAAACAUGCCCUAUACCUCUGUUAGCUUUACAAAACUAUGUGGCAAUCUAAAAGUCAAUGCCAAAAAAAAA